rnacentral:rRNA from 1 species
AUACGUAGGUGGCAAGCGUUGUCCGGAAUUAUUGGGCGUAAAGCGCGCGCAGGUGGUUCCUUAAGUCUGAUGUGAAAGCCCCCGGCUCAACCGGGGAGGGUCAUUGGAAACUGGGGAACUUGAGUGCAGAAGAGGAUAGUGGAAUUCCAAGUGUAGCGGUGAAAUGCGUAGAGAUUUGGAGGAACACCAGUGGCGAAGGCGACUGUCUGGUCUGUAACGGACACUGAGGCGCGAAAGCGUGGGGAGCAAACAGGAUUAGAUACCCUGGUAGUCCACGCCGUAAACGAUGAGUGCUAAGUGUUGGGGGGUUUCCGCCCCUCAGUGCUGCAGCUAACGCAUUAAGCACUCCGCCUGGGGAGUACGGUCGCAAGACUGAAACUCAAAUGAAUUGACGGGG